rnacentral:rRNA from 1 species
AUUGAACGCUGGCGGCAUGCUUUACACAUGCAAGUCGAACGGUAACAGGCCGCAAGGUGCUGACGAGUGGCGAACGGGUGAGUAAUGCAUCGGAACGUGCCCAGUCGUGGGGGAUAACUACUCGAAAGAGUAGCUAAUACCGCAUACGAUCUAUGGAUGAAAGCGGGGGACCGUAAGGCCUCGCGCGAUUGGAGCGGCCGAUGUCAGAUUAGGUAGUUGGUGGGGUAAAGGCUCACCAAGCCAACGAUCUGUAGCUGGUCUGAGAGGACGACCAGCCACACUGGGACUGAGACACGGCCCAGACUCCUACGGGAGGCAGCAGUGGGGAAUUUUGGACAAUGGGCGCAAGCCUGAUCCAGCAAUGCCGCGUGCAGGAAGAAGGCCUUCGGGAUGUAAACUGCUUUUGUACGGAACGAAACGGCUCUGGUUAAUACCCGGGGCUAAUGACGGUACCGUAAGAAUAAGCACCGGCUAACUACGUG